CUGGAUUCGCUAGUAAUCGCGCAUCAGCCAUGGCGCGGUGAAUACGUUCCCGGGCCUUGUACACACCGCCCGUCAAGCCAUGGGAGCCGAGGGCGCUUGAAGUGCGUCGCCGCAAGGCGCGCCCUAGAGCGAAAUCGGUGACUGGGGCUAAGUCGUAACAAGGUAAC
rnacentral:rRNA from 1 species